AGUAAAGUCAGCUAAAAAAGCUAUCGGGCCCAUACCCCGAAAAUGUCCACCCGGCCUUUACUA
rnacentral:tRNA from 1 species